AUUCGAUAAUCAAACAAACCGCUGAUCUCAUCGGAUAUUCUGCUUCCUCUCUCCUCCUCCUCCGGCUGCAUCAUCAGGGUUUUAAGCCAAAAGCGAGAGAGAGAUGGUUGCCGAAGCCAAUCAGACGAUUCCGACGACCUUGAUCUUCACCUACGGCACUCUGAAACGCGGAUUCUGGAACCACACGCUGUUGCAGGACCUGAUGCGGACAGGGGACGCUUCUUUCAUUGGAAUUUACCGGACCACGGAGAGGUUGCCGCUCGUCUGUGGACCGUUCCGAGUGCCGUUUCUCAUAAACUCGCCCGGUUCUGGUCACCGAGUUGAAGGAGAGGUUUAUGCGGUGACGAACAGAGGAUUAGGGCGUACAGAUGAACUGGAAGGCUUGAGCCGCGGCCACUACGUCCGGCUGCCGAUUGAUGUGGAGGCGACGGACGGCGGAGGCGUUGUAGCGGCGGAGGCGUAUUAUGCGCAUCCGAGUUACGCGAUGGAGCUGUGGAGGAAGGAGGGGAAGAAGAAAGAGGGCGGCGGAGUUAUAAGUUCGUAUUCGGAGAAAGAGGCGAAAGGCUAUGUGAAGCGUAAAGAUAGGCCUCAACAUCUUUCGUUCCUUGAUCAAAUUCGUCUGUUUAUUUCUUCUUCGUCUGAUUAGAGAGUUUUCUUCAAAAAUUGGGGCAAGUUUUUGCUUUUUGUGUGAUGAAAUCUUGUGUGUAAUGCUGAUUGGGAUUUCGUUUACUGCAAAAUCUGAUCGUAAUUAGGUUUUCUUUUGUCUUUUUAAGUAGAUUAUAAAAUUGUUGUAAAUUUCUCAAGGAUUUG
rnacentral:misc_RNA from 1 species